rnacentral:rRNA from 1 species
GAUGAACGCUAGCGGGAGGCCUAACACAUGCAAGCCGAGCGGUAUUUGUUCUUCGGAACAGAGAGAGCGGCGCACGGGUGCGGAACACGUGUGCAACCUGCCUUUAUCUGGGGGAUAGCCUUUCGAAAGGAAGAUUAAUACCCCAUAAUAUAUUGAGUGGCAUCACUUGAUAUUGAAAACUCCGGUGGAUAGAGAUGGGCACGCGCAAGAUUAGAUAGUUGGUGAGGUAACGGCUCACCAAGUCAAUGAUCUUUAGGGGGCCUGGGAGGGUGAUCCCCCAGACUGGUACUGAGACACGGACCAGAGUCGAAGGGUAGGCAGCAGUGAUGAAUAUUGGACAAGGGGUUAGCGACUGAUCAAGCCAUCCCGCGGGAAGGACGACGGCCCUAUGGGUUGUAAACUUCUUUAGUAUAGGGAUAAACCUACUCGCGUGAGAGUAGCAGAAGAUACAAUACGAAUAAGAACCGGAUAACUACGUG